rnacentral:rRNA from 1 species
UACGUAGGGGGCUAGCGUUGUCCGGAAUCAUUGGGCGUAAAGAGCGUGUAGGCGGCCCGGUAAGUCCGCUGUAAAAGUCAAAGGCUCAACCUUUGAAUGUCAGUGGAUACUGCCGGGCUAGAGUCCGGAAGAGGCGAGUGGAACUCCUGGUGUAGCGGUGGAAUGCACAGAUAUCAGGAAGAACACCAACGGCGAAGGCAGCUCGCUGGGACGGUACUGACGCUGAGACGCGAAAGCGUGGGGAGCGAACAGG